rnacentral:lncRNA from 1 species
AUAAAUAAAUAACAGCAACAAAUGAAUGAACAGAAAGGAGGCUCAAGUUUCGUCGUUGCUUCAAGAAUGGGACUUUAACCCAUUUCCCUUCUUUCGACUCCUUGUAUCCAUCUGCGUUUUUUUUUUUUUGCUUUUUUGGGUCUUCAAGAUCGACUCAAGACUAAGUGGGCCUCAAUGGCCCAUAAGGAACAUGCAACGGGAAAGAGAGUCCAUGCAAGACUCGAGCGGGUUCAUGCAAAGAAGAGAUAAAGCACAUUAAUACAUGAUCAAUAAAAGGAAGAAAGGGGAGAGGGGGGGAGGGGCAAGAAAAAAGAAAGUUAACACAUGAUCAACCGGGAUAGAAAAAUUAAUACAGUAGUACUUAAUACAUGAUCAACCAAAUAAGAGAAAAAAAAAAUUAAUAAGGGAAGAUCGAAGCGAGGAUGGAUUUAGAUAAUGACAUGCCCAGUUUUUCUUAGAGGGAUUAACAUACAUGGCCAGGGAAGAAUGUGAAUAUGAACAUGUGAAAAACACUAUAACUCUCCCUUUUCCCCCUUUCUUUUGAAUGCCAGGGAUGAAAAAGCAAAGAUCCAGCUGAGUCCUCUCCGAACCACAGGAGAUAGUUGCCCAUCAUACGGCUCACCAACUUCACUUGCCUCUAUGGGAGGCUCGCUCCGGGCAGGUUCGGAUCACUUACAAUACGGUCAAGAUGGCAUCCUUUACUAUAAAGGAUCUAUAUCAUUACUUACUAAACAUACUUUCCCGAAUAGCCUCACGUUGAAACUAAGUUUAUACAAACAAAUAUCCCAGCAAUAAACAUUCUUAAAACAGGAAUAAAAGCAUUUUCAAGAAAAAUCCGAGGAGAAUAAAGAAAGAGUGAAAAC